rnacentral:rRNA from 1 species
GACGAACGCUGGCGGCGUGCCUAAUACAUGCAAGUUGAGCGCUGAAGGUUGGUACUUGUACCAACUGGAUGAGCAGCGAACGGGUGAGUAACGCGUGGGGAAUCUGCCUUUGAGCGGGGGACAACAUUUGGAAACGAAUGCUAAUACCGCAUAAAAACUUUAAACACAAGUUUUAAGUUUGAAAGAUGCAAUUGCAUCACUCAAAGAUGAUCCCGCGUUGUAUUAGCUAGUUGGUGAGGUAAAGGCUCACCAAGGCGAUGAUACAUAGCCGACCUGAGAGGGUGAUCGGCCACAUUGGGACUGAGACACGGCCCAAACUCCUACGGGAGGCAGCAGUAGGGAAUCUUCGGCAAUGGACGAAAGUCUGACCGAGCAACGCCGCGUGAGUGAAGAAGGUUUUCGGAUCGUAAAACUCUGUUGGUAGAGAAGAACGUUGGUGAGAGUGGAAAGCUCAUCAAGUGACGGUAACUACCCAGAAAGGGACGGCCAACUACGUG